AAGGAUUUAAGUUAAACAAACUCACAGCCUUCAAAGCUGUAAAUAAAGAAAGGCACUUUAAGCCUUA
rnacentral:tRNA from 1 species